rnacentral:rRNA from 1 species
GAUGAACGCUAGCGGCAGGCUUAAUACAUGCAAGUUGAGGGGCAGCAUGAUAUACGCGAGUAUAUUGAUGGCGACCGGCGGACGGGUGAGUAAUAGGUAGGAGACCUACCUCAUACAGGGGGAUAGCAUAGAGAAAUCUGUGGUAAUACCCCAUGAGGUUAUAUGAAUAGAGGCAUAUAAUCAAAGCAUAAGCGAUUAUGCGGUAUGAGAGGGGCCUACUGACCAUUAGCUAGUUGGUGAGGUAAGGGCUCACCAAGGCGAAGAUGGUUAGGGGUUUUGAGAGAGAGACCCCCCACAUUGGAACUGAGAGACGGUCCAGACUCCUACGGGAGGGCAGCAGUAGGGAAUAUUGGGCGAAUGGGCGGAAAGACCUGACCACGCCAUGCCGCGUGAAGGAAGACGGCCUUAUGGUUGUAACUUACUUACUACGCGAAUAGAGGUUAGUACGAGAUACUAAUAGGAAGGUAGUGUAGUAAAAGACACCGGCUAACUCCGUG